rnacentral:rRNA from 1 species
UUANNUACUCUUGNNNUCNNGAGAAUUCGCUAGAGAUAGCUUAGUGCCUUCGGGAACUCUGAGACAGGUGCUGCAUGGCUGUCGUCAGCUCGUGUUGUGAAAUGUUGGGUUAAGUCCCGCAACGAGCGCAACCCUUAUCCUUGUUUGCCAGCACAUAAUGGUGGGAACUCCAGGGAGACUGCCGGUGAUAAACCGGAGGAAGGUGGGGACGACGUCAAGUCAUCAUGGCCCUUACGAGUAGGGCUACACACGUGCUACAAUGGCGUAUACAGAGGGCUGCAAACUAGCGAUAGUGAGCGAAUCCCACAAAGUACGUCGUAGUCCGGAUUGGAGUCUGCAACUCGACUCCAUGAAGUCGGAAUCGCUAGUAAUCGUGAAUCAGAAUGUCACGGUGAAUACGUUCCCGGG